GAUGCCUCAGGCCAAGGAAGAUGAAGGUCACGAACUCAUGAGGGCAAGAAAGAAAAGCACAUUCAUCCAUUUGCAAAUAUACUUUUAUGCUUACAACGUUACCCUGGACAAUGGAAGCAAAGGAACCAUGACAGAACUUUAAGUCAAGAAGAGCCAUCUCCAAGCACCCACACCUGAGGGGCCUCCUCUCCUCCGGACCUGACGUAGAUGUUGAAGUCCUGGAUGAGACUUCGGGCGGCCUCGGGGGCCGCUCUCUGGAAUCUGCGUCGUCCCUGUGACUCACUUUGGCCAAGAGAAAGCAGUGCCCGUGAUGCCACAUGAUUUCUGAGGACAGCGCAUAGGGAGCCUUUUGGCUUCCACCUGGGUCUCUUACAAUGCUUGCUCUGGAACAAGCCAGGCAUCGUGUAAGAAGCUGGUUUCUUCUGAGACUGAGAUGGUGUGGAGGGGCCAAGCUAGCCAUGUGGAAAAGUCACAGGAGAAAGCAGUUCGGUCCACCAGACUCUGCUUGGUCCAGCCGUUCCAGCUGAGACCAGCUAGGAGAGUCAGGGUGCUGCCAUCUUGGCCGUACAGCCCAGCUGAACCUGCGUUUGGCUCUCAACCUUGCCACGGUUUGACCGCAACCAUGUGAGACCCCUCGCCCCAGCCACCAAGCGACGCCCGAGCCAGUCAAUCCACAGAACUGCAAGAGCUAAAAAGAAUUUCUUCUCAGCAACUAAACUUUGGGCUUUGUUAUAUGGCAACAGAUAACUGAAACAGUAAAAAAAAUUAUGUGCGUUUUAAUUUAAAAAAUGCAAAUUAAAUUGUA